GAAAUAGCUCCAUCGCUAGAUCGUACCCUAAACCGACACAGGUGGACAGGUAGAGAAUACCAAGGCGCUUGAGAGAACUAUGUUGAAGGAACUCGGCAAAAUACCUCCGUAAGUUCGCGAGAAGGAGGCCCGGUUUCUAGGCAACUAGGGGCUGGGGGCACAAACCAGGGGGUGGCGACUGUUUAUUAAAAACACAGGGCUCUGCGAAGUCGCAAGACGACGUAUAGGGUCUGACGCCUGCCCGGUGCCUGAAGGUUAAAAGGAGGGGUGAGAGCUCUGAAUUGAAGCCCAGGUAAACGGCGGCCGUAACUAUAACGGUCCUAAGGUAGCGAAAUUCCUUGUCGGGUAAGUUCCGACCUGCACGAAUGGCGUAACGACUUCCCCGCUGUCUCCAACAUAGACUCAGCGAAAUUGAAUUACCGGUCAAGAUGCCGGUUACCCGCGGUUAGACGGAAAGACCCCGUGCACCUUUACUACAGCUUCACACUGGCAUUAGGCCGAACAUGUGCAGGAUAGGUGGUGGGCUUUGAAACCGAGA
rnacentral:rRNA from 1 species